rnacentral:rRNA from 1 species
UCCUGGCUCAGGAUGAACGCUAGCUACAGGCUUAACACAUGCAAGUCGAGGGGAAACGAUAUUGGAAGCUUGCUUCCGAUAGGCGUCGACCGGCGCACGGGUGAGUAACGCGUAUCCAACCUGCCCAUCACUUGGGAAUAACCUUGCGAAAGUAAGACUAAUGCCCAAUGACAUUUAUAGAAGGCAUCUGAAAUGAUUAAAGAUUUAUCGGUGAUGGAUGGGGAUGCGUCUGAUUAGCUUGUUGGCGGGGUAACGGCCCACCAAGGCGACGAUCAGUAGGGGUUCUGAGAGGAAGGUCCCCCACAUUGGAACUGAGACACGGUCCAAACUCCUACGGGAGGCAGCAGUGAGGAAUAUUGGUCAAUGGGCGAGAGCCUGAACCAGCCAAGUAGCGUGCAGGAAGACGGCCCUAUGGGUUGUAAACUGCUUUUAUAGGGGAAUAAAGUGAGCCACGUGUGGUUUUGCAUGUACCCUAUGAAUAAGGACCGGCUAAUUCCGUGCC